rnacentral:rRNA from 1 species
GACGAACGCUGGCGGCGUGCUUAACACAUGCAAGUCGAACGGUGACAGGAGAACUUGCUCUUCUUGAUCAGUGGCGAACGGGUGAGUAACACGUGAGUAACCUGCCCCAGACUCUGGAAUAACCCCGGGAAACCGGAGCUAAUACCGGAUAUGAGACGGAGAGGCAUCUCUACCGUCUGGAAAGUUUUUCGGUCUGGGAUGGCCUCGCGGCCUAUCAGCUUGUUGGUGAGGUAGUGGCUCACCAAGGCGACGACGGGUAGCCGGCCUGAGAGGGCGACCGGCCACACUGGGACUGAGACACGGCCCAGACUCCUACGGGAGGCAGCAGUGGGGAAUAUUGCACAAUGGGCGAAAGCCUGAUGCAGCGACGCCGCGUGAGGGAUGACGGCCUUCGGGUUGUAAACCUCUUUCAGCAGGGAAGAAGCGCAAGUGACGGUACCUGCAGAAGAAGCACCGGCUAACUACGUGCCAGCAGCCGCCGUAAAAC